rnacentral:lncRNA from 1 species
AUGUAUAGCCUGUUACAUGGGAAGCAGAGAUAUUUCAAAGUGAGGAUGAUUGAAACAGAGUUUAGAGUUACUUGUCAGAGAUCAGAAGAAUACAUGCAAGAGGCUGGAGAUCCACAGUACAGAGAUGAUCCUCAAACACUGUGUCAAGGCAAGCCUGCGUUCCGAGAGGAUCUAUCAAACUUCAGCCCCUCUCCAGUGAACAACUGCAAAAGUAAAUCCGCAUUAUGA